rnacentral:rRNA from 1 species
GACGAACGCUGGCGGCGUGCUUAACACAUGCAAGUCGAGCGGUAAGGCCCUUCGGGGUACACGAGCGGCGAACGGGUGAGUAACACGUGGGUAAUCUGCCCUGCACUCUGGGAUAAGCCUUGGAAACGAGGUCUAAUACCGGAUACGACUCCUCCACGCAUGUGGUGGGGUGGAAAGUUCCGGCGGUGCAGGAUGAACCCGCGGCCUAUCAGCUUGUUGGUGGGGUAAUGGCCUACCAAGGCGACGACGGGUAGCCGGCCUGAGAGGGCGACCGGCCACACUGGGACUGAGACACGGCCCAGACUCCUACGGGAGGCAGCAGUGGGGAAUAUUGCGCAAUGGGCGAAAGCCUGACGCAGCGACGCCGCGUGAGGGAUGACGGCCUCGGUUGUAACCUAC